UGAGGAAUAUUGGCAAUGGACGCAAGUCUGAACCAGCCAUGCCGCGUGCAGGAAGACGGCUCUAUGAGUUGUAAACUGCUUUUGUACGAGGGUAAACGCAGAUACGCGUAUCUGUCUGAAAGUAUCGUACGAAUAAGGAUCGGCUAACUCCGUGCC
rnacentral:rRNA from 1 species